rnacentral:rRNA from 1 species
CAGGCAGCCGCGGGAAUACGAAGGGUGCAAGCGUUACUCGGAAUUACUGGGCGUAAAGCGUGCGUAGGUGGUGGUUUAAGUCCGUUGUGAAAGCCCUGGGCUCAACCUGGGAAUUGCAGUGGAUACUGGGUCACUAGAGUGUGGUAGAGGAUAGUGGAAUUUCCGGUGUAGCAGUGAAAUGCGUAGAGAUCGGAAGGAACAUCUGUGGCGAAGGCGACUAUCUGGGCCAACACUGACACUGAGGCACGAAAGCGUGGGGAGCAAACAGGAUUAGAUACCCCAGUAGUCCCUGUCUCUUAUA